UAACGCGUGAGCAAUCUGCCUUUGGAUGGGGGAUAACAGCCGGAAACGGCUGCUAAUACCGCAUAAUGCAACGGGAUCGCAUGGUUCUGUUGCCAAAGAUUUAUUGUCCAAAGAUGAGCUCGCGUCUGAUUAGCCAGUUGGCGGGGUAACGGCCCACCAAAGCGACGAUCAGUAGCCGGACUGAGAGGUUGAACGGCCACAUUGGGACUGAGACACGGCCCAGACUCCUACGGGAGGCAGCAG
rnacentral:rRNA from 1 species